AGGCUGCAGUGAGCUCAGACCGCACCUCUGCACUCCAGCCUGGGCAGCAGAGUGGGACCCUGUCUCUGAGAAACCAAAACCGAAACAUCUCUCAUCAGGCUAUCAACAAGUUACAUGUGUUUUUUGUGACUACUCAGAUAAAAAUGUUCCACUGUAACAGUUUCUCAACAUUGCAGGCAGGGCUGGCGGGGUUCCCAGGAGGGAGUGCCCUCACCCACCACCUCGCGGCCGCUCGCUCACUGUGCAGCUGUAUGGCAGGCCCAGCAGUGCCCCUCCCUUCAUACAUCACCAGAAUCGGCUGAAAGCUGCCAAAAGAGAACUCAGAAAACAAACAGUCCCUGCGGGUCAGAGGCCACCGCUCCAAGCCCACCUGCACACAGCUGCUUGACUGGACGCAAAACCUGGACUGACUGCGGAGCAGGAGCCCUCCUUGCACGUGUUUGCUCCAAACCCUGCAACCCCUCUUCUCCACCUGGGCUUCCACCCACACCCUGGAACCCAGGAGAGGCAGAUGCCCCAGAUCCUCGCCCUCCAUCCUCUCUCCUCACGCCGACCUCCAUGUGGCCUUCAGGCGUGCCAUGUACCCCCAAGACCUGUAAGAAAGAAAAUCCUUAUUUUCCA